rnacentral:rRNA from 1 species
AUUGAACGCUGGCGGCAUGCCUUACACAUGCAAGUCGAACGGUAACAGGUCUUCGGGUGCUGACGAGUGGCGAACGGGUGAGUAAUACAUCGGAACGUGCCUGGUAGUGGGGGAUAACUACUCGAAAGAGUGGCUAAUACCGCAUGAGAUCUACGGAUGAAAGCAGGGGAUCGCAAGACCUUGUGCUACUAGAGCGGCCGAUGGCAGAUUAGGUAGUUGGUGGGAUAAAAGCUUACCAAGCCGACGAUCUGUAGCUGGUCUGAGAGGACGAUCAGCCACACUGGGACUGAGACACGGCCCAGACUCCUACGGGAGGCAGCAGUGGGGAAUUUUGGACAAUGGGCGAAAGCCUGAUCCAGCAAUGCCGCGUGCAGGAUGAAGGCCUUCGGGUUGUAAACUGCUUUUGUACGGAACGAAAAGCCCUGGGUUAAUACCCUGGGGUCAUGACGGUACCGUAAGAAUAAGCACCGGCUAACUACGUGCCAGCCGCCGCAGUAAGAC